rnacentral:misc_RNA from 1 species
CCGAGUUUACAACUCCCAAACCACCUGUGAACCUUACCAUUCUGUUGCUUCGGCGGGACUGCCCUGGGACUGCCCUAGAAUCAGGCCCCCGCCGAGGGACCUAAACUCUCAUGGUUUUUCUUUAGCGGACUUGUCUGAGUGGCUCUAAGCAGAAAACGAAUCA